UUUACUCUUUCAGCCUCUAGAAGGUGGGCAAGGCAGCCCCAGGAGACAGUACAGGGCACCACCAGCACCAACUCCCUACCGCCGGUCUGAGCUCUAAAGGGCAAAAAGCUAUUUCACCCAUCCUCUUAUUCACCACCUCUCUGGAAACCAUCCAUCCAUGUUGUUGCAAAUG